UGGCUCAUAACGAACGCUGGCGGCAUGCCUAACACAUGCAAGUCGAACGAGACCUUCGGGUCUAGUGGCGCACGGGUGCGUAACGCGUGGGAAUCUGCCCUUGGGUCCGGAAUAACAGUUAGAAAUGACUGCUAAUACCGGAUGAUGUCUUCGGACCAAAGAUUUAUCGCCCAGGGAUGAGCCCGCGUAGGAUUAGCUUGUUGGUGAGGUAAAGGCUCACCAAGGCGACGAUCCUUAGCUGGUCUGAGAGGAUGAUCAGCCACACUGGGACUGAGACACGGCCCAGACUCCUACGGGAGGCAGCAGUGGGGAAUAUUGGACAAUGGGCGAAAGCCUGAUCCAGCAAUGCCGCGUGAGUGAUGAAGGCCUUAGGGUUGUAAAGCUCUUUUGCCAGGGAUGAUAAUGACAGUACCUGGAGAAUAAGCUCCGGCUAACUCCGUGCCAGCAGCCGCGGUAAUACGGAGGGAGCUAGCGUUGUUCGGAAUUACUGGGCGUAAAGC
rnacentral:rRNA from 1 species